rnacentral:rRNA from 2 species
GGAUGCGAUCAUACCAGCACUAAAGCACCGGAUCCCAUCAGAACUCCGAAGUUAAGCGUGCUUGGGCGAGAGUAGUACUAGGAUGGGUGACUUCCUGGGAAGUCCUCCUGUUGCAUUCC